AACAGCGUUGCCAGACCGUACCAAAAAGUACGGUUUUCCGUACUAUUCAUCACACAACCGUACCACAACCGUACCUCAGUGUAGACCGUACCUUUUUCGUACCUUUUCUAUAUUAGUGAUUUAUUUUUUACUGCAAACUACAAAGGGUAAAAAAAAAAUCGCCUUCUCCUGUUUUGUCAACAUUAUGAAUUUGCGUUUAAAAAACUUUUUUCUUCCAUCCAAAUAAGACUUGGCUGUUUGGAUUACAUUCCUUGCCUUCCUUCCUCAGGAGCGAUGAAUUAAAAAAAAAAACAGAGCAAACAGAAUAUAGUCUGCGGGACUAUCGCCGUUCGCCGAUGUCUAUAGUCAGUCUGGAACCGAGAUCGAACUAAAGAUAACUCAUUCUCACAAGUAUGUACGACGUGUGACGAAACAAUACGAAUCUAUAGACGGAAGAAAAGUUAAGUCAAGGUGUUGGGAAAUGGACAGAUUUAUAACGAAGCGAAAACGUGACCCUCCUGAUAAUAAUAGCUCUCAAAAUAGUAACCAGCCUACUAAACCUGGUCAUUCAACUAAGAAGAAAUGUUUAAGUCCUAGUAUCCCUGGCCCUUCAUGUACUGAUGCACUAAUAAUAAUAAAACCUACCCAGCCACAAGAAUCAAAUCCUUCCAACGACUUCAGUUUGCUAGACGAAUCAAAUCUAUCUAACAAAAAAAAACCACAAGCCUUACUUGAUACUUGUAACGAAAAUGAAGAAAUCCAGAUAGCAACAAGUAAUGAAGAGCAUAAAAAAAAUAUUCCAACCAAAUCUAAAAAAGCAUCGGAUAAGACUGAAAAACAUUUAUAUGUUUUUAGCGAGAAAUGGUUAGAAAUUAAAGAACUUUCAGAGUGGCUAGUUUCAGACACAGUUAAAGGCACAAUCAGUGCAAAAUGCAAAUACUGUCAAACUACGUUACCCAACCACAAGCCGCACUUGAUACGACACUCUGAAACUGAUAAACACAAAUCAAUAAUGAAAGCCAUUAAAUCCACAUCAAAUAUUAAAGAAUCAUUAAAACCAUCAGAUGAAGAUCUCUCAGUAAAAAGAGGUGAGCUUAAAAUUGCUGCAAUGCUGGCUACAAAUAAUUUACCAUUCCUCUUAUCAGACACUCUAGUUAGCUUAAUAGCGGACAUUUGCCCCGAUUCGAAAAUUGCUCAGAAGAUGAAGAUGGGUCGUACGAAAGCAACAGCAGUUGUAACACAAAUUUUAGGGCCCAGUCUUCAAAGUACUUUGCAUGAUUAUUUAAAACAACCCGGUAAUUUCUUUUGCCUAAUAAUGGACGAAACAACUGAUGUUGGCACAAAAAAACAAUGUGCGAUGACAGUGAUAUAUUGUGACAAAGAAUUUAAAAUAAAAACAGAAUUCUUCGAUUUGCUGGAAAUGGCCUCAGGUACGGCUGAUGACUUGUAUAACGCAUUAAUACAGAGCGUUGAAACUAAAAAUAUCCCACUAGAAAACUUAGUGGGAUUUUCUUCAGACACGACGAACGUGAUGGUCGGCGAAUAUAAUUCUGUGUUCGCCAAAUUGAAAGAAAGACUUCCUAACAUAGUGUGUGUCCGCUGCUCUUGCCAUAUGAUUCAUUUGGCUGCCUCCAAAGCUUGUCUACAACUGCCAAAAUCAGUAGAAGAUAUGUUACGGAACAUUGGCUCCCAUUUCAGCCGCAGCCACAACCGACAACAGAAGCUUGCAGAAAUGCAACGCUUCUACCAAACACAAAUUCAUCAGAUUCUUUUGCCGGCAACAACCCGGUGGCUUUCUUUAAAGGCAUGUGUCGACCGAACGCUGGAACAGUAUCCUGCACUGGAAGCCUAUUUCAGACUUGAAAUAGUGGAAGAUCCGUCCAGAAUAACUGAAAGUAUCAUUUUCAGUUUGCGUAACCAGUUUACAAAAUUUUAUCUCGAGUUCAUGGCAUAUGUGCUAGACCUGCUAAAUGACUUCAAUAUUACUUUUCAGUCUGAAUCGCCAUUACUUCAUAAACUGAAACCUGCCGUAGAAGGGCUCAUCCGCACAAUUGCAAGUAACUUCAUUGAUUUACAUCACGUCAAAAACACGCCUCCUCUAGAGAUCGAACAUAAAAACCCAAGGUUGUACUUGCCUUUGGAAAAUUUGUACCUUGGUGUUUCUGUGGACUCAAGCCUCAAGGAGGUUCAAAAUGAUGUUAGAAAAGAGGACCUGGAAAGAUUCAAACUAGAUUGCCUGGCAUUUUAUGUUGAAGUAAUAGAACAAAUAAAACAAAGAUUUAUAUUUACAGACCCAAUAUAUGACAUAAUCCAAAUAGUCGAACCAAAAAUUAUAAAAUCGUUUGAUCCACAAAUGAUAACUUCAAUUUUAAACAGAUUUCCUUUUUUAGCCCCCACAUAUCUGAAUAAAAGUGCAUUAAUAAACGAAUGGCGGGAGUACUGUUUAUUAGAUCUGGCAAGUGUGGACGACAGUAUAUCGAUUCAAAUGAAUGCUGCUGAUUUUUGGACAAAAGUAUUUAAAUUAAAGGACAUAGCUGGUACAGAAAAAUUCAAAAAUUUGAAAAUCCUGAUAGGAUUUCUAUUAAUUCUGCCUUUUUCUAAUGUCUCAGUGGAAAGAGUAUUUAGCAAACUAAAGCUGAUAAAGACUGAACAUCGGAAUCGUCUCAAUACCGAAACUAUUGCUGCAUUAAUGGCUAUUAGUUCAUCUAUACAGCAACAAGGUGGUAUACACAAUUUUGAACCCAGCUCUUCUAUGUUAAAUAAGAAGAUAAAGUACUAAAAUUAAUUUGAUUCAGUAGUGACGGAUUUCGCUGAUAAAGUAAACACCUAAAUACAACAUCAAAUUACCUUUUUUGUAAAUUUUGAAAACUAAUGAUUUCGAGAUGAAUAAAUAUUUAUCUGUAGAGAAAUAUUACUAAUUUUGUAGAUUGAAAUGAAAACUAUUAACUUGCAUUGAGCAUGGGUGCAGGCUAAGUAUUAAGUAUUUUGGAAUGAAGCAAAGCAUAUCUACAAACGGAAUGACACAUAUCCAAACUAUUGGAGCUUCAAGCAUGUAUUAGCAAGUUAUUUAUUUAUAAACUCGUGAAGUAUCCCGACCUAACCGUACCUUGAAGUUAAAAACCGUACCUUUUUAGAAAGCCAACCAUCCUUUUUUGGGAAAUCAUACUGGCAACACUGGU
rnacentral:misc_RNA from 1 species